GCGCAGUGCAGUUGGAACGUUCUGGAAGGCUAGCUGGAGUGCCAGCGGGGCGCGGCUUGCAGUCAGUGCGGCCUGCGACGUGAGCCGUGCAGGACGUGUCUCUGAGCCUCGCUCGGAGCUGCAGUCCUGUGUGUCUCUGUUCCUUUGGCUUUAACAUCCCGGUGACUGAUGCUGAGCAGCAUCUCCUCUCGUCUCUGACGCAGGUGUAGCAGCUCGUGGCCGCAGCAGAACUUCUUUCUCACUGAGGAAUGAGGUAUCCUGCGGACGAGCUGCAUCACCAGUCCGCUGGAGGCAGUAGGGGGCGCGGUCCUGGCACCAGCCUUCUAACACCAGCGCACUGAACCACCUUCUCAUCAGGAAUGUAGCAGCAUUCCUCUAGAGUACUGCUGCAUCCUGAUGAUCCUUCUACCAGAUAGAUGAUGAUAGCUGGCACGGGUCCUAAGACCGAGAGAGUCAGACCCAUACUGACUCCCUUCUCUCAUCUUGGACCCGUGCCAGAAACAGGAGUGGAGUAGAGAAUAUCGCCAAGAGGAUCAGGUAUACUCCUGGUAUACCUGGUCUUCUUAUAAAGGUCUCAUUCUCGUCUCCUCUCUUAUAUAUGAAAAAUGACACCGAGAAAAAAAUUAAUAUUAUAAAAGAACCUACCGAAAUGAUUUAAUUCACGUAUCAAACAUGUAGUUUUUUAACAUUAAAAUAGUUAUAAGACAUAGUUUUAAGGAAA